rnacentral:rRNA from 1 species
AUGCGGGUGGAGGGGCCCUUCUUCAGCCUCUUGGGCCGCUCCGUCCUCCUCGACGCCGAGUGGUGCCCGGUGCUCACCGUGGAGCGCUCGCCGUCCCUGUUCGAGAUCACCCGGAGGUGGGAGGCGUUCAGGGGGGAUAGCACGAGCUCCAAGGACCUGCUCUUCUCCGCCGCCGUGCAGCCUUCGCUGACCAACACGGGAGACAUCCACGUGCACCUCGACGGCGAGAGGCGCCGCGACUUCGUCGGCGUCCGCCCCUGGUACCGCGGACUGACUGCACCGUCACCCACGCCGGCGCUACCGUUGCCCAGAUCGAAUGCUGGGGGGGAUUCAUCUCGCCGACCGAGUAUGAUGUCCGUGUCAACGAAGGCGUCGACCAUGCCUUCAUCCUGGGGCUCACCGUGGUUCUGGAGGGUAUACGGCUCGACGACGCCGACCAAGAGAGGUCACGCGCCCUCAAGAGGUCACGAGCUAGAAAUAAUAAGAACUUAUAAGUACUGA